ACGGGGUGGCCGAGUGGUUAAGGCAAUGGAUUGCUAAUCCAUUGGGGUUUCCCCGCGUGGGUUCGAAUCCCAUCCCCGUCG
rnacentral:tRNA from 1 species